GCGUAGAGGAGGCAGUGUCAAAGAUGGCAGCAUUAAAGCUAAAAGCCUGGAUGCGGAUGUAACUGUCUGUGUACAGCAGAGAGGAUACAAAGCACAGAAGAAGCCCUAUGUCUCCCUUGUGUGCUAACUCACAUGAGUGCUGUCUGGACAUGCAACUCUUUUGAGGGAGUCUAGGAUGACAUAAAAAUCAACUUACAUCACAGAGAGCACAGCAAGGGAGAAAAAAAUCUUCAUACCAUCAAAGUUGCUGGAGCCAGGAGGAGACUGUGAAGUGGGGUGGGAAGCAGUUGGUGGAGGAAAUAUCAAGA